UAUACUAAAUACUUUGAAGGUGAAGCGGAUCUAGGGAUGCUUCUGUAUACUUCUCUACAGAAGCAUCCCUAGGUCCUCUACACCUUCAAGUAUAAGCCUCAUGAACCUAUAACUUGAUAUGGAGGUCCCGGGAAGAUGUU
rnacentral:pre_miRNA from 1 species